GAUGAACGCUAGCUACAGGCCUAACACAUGCAAGUCGAGGGACCGGCGCACGUGAGAGUAACACGUAUCAAACCUGCCCUUUACUCGGGGAUAGCCUUUCGAAAUAACGAUUAAUACCUAACAUAAAGUACGGGGAUGCGUUCCAUUAGGUUGUUGGUAAGGUAACGGCCCACCAAGCCUUCGAUGGAUAGGGUUUCGGAGAGGAAGGUACCCGCCAUUGGAACUGAGACACGGUCCAAACUCCUACGCGAGGCAGCAGUGAGUAAUAUUGGUCAAUGGGCGUUAGCCUGAACCAGCCAAGUAGAGUGAAGGAUGAAGGCUUAUGAGUCGUAAACUUCUUUUAUAUAAGAGUAGGUAUUAUAUGAAUAAGGAUCGGCUAACUCCGUGCCAGCAGCCGCGGUAAUUC
rnacentral:rRNA from 1 species